rnacentral:rRNA from 1 species
CAAGUCGAGGGGCAGCACAGGUAGCAAUACUGGGUGGCGACCGGCAAACGGGUGCGGAACACGUACACAACCUUCCUUUAAGCGGGGGAUAGCCCAGAGAAAUUUGGAUUAAUACCCCAUAGUAUGUUAGCGAGGCAUCUCGCAGACAUUAAAGAUUUAUCACUUAAAGAUGGGUGAGCGUCUGAUUAGGUAGUUGGCGGGGUAACGGCCCACCAAGCCAUCGAUCAGUAACUGGUGUGAGAGCACGACCAGUCACACGGGCACUGAGACACGGGCCCGACUCCUACGGGAGGCAGCAGUAAGGAAUAUUGGUCAAUGGACGCAAGUCUGAACCAGCCGUGCCGCGUGGAGGAUGAAGGUCCUCUGGAUUGUAAACUUCUUUUAUCUGGGAAGAAAUGCAUCUUUUCUAAGGUGUUUGACGGUACCAGAUGAAUAAGCACCGGCUAACUCCGUGCCAGCAGCCGCGGUAAUACGGAGGGUGCAAGCGUUAUCCGGAUUCACUGGGUUUAAAGGGUGCGUAGGUGGGCAGUUAAGUCAGUGGUGAAAUCUCCGGGCUCAACCCGGAAACUGCCAUUGAUACUAUCUGUCUUGAAUAUCGUGGAGGUAAGCGGAAUAUGUCAUGUAGCGGUGAAAUGCUUAGAUAUGACAUAGAACACCAAUUGCGAAGGCAGCUUGCUACCCGAAUAUUGACACUGAGGCACGAAAGCGUGGGGAUCAAACAGGAUUAGAUACCCUGGUAGUCCACGCCCUAAACGAUGGAUACUCGACAUACGCGAUACACAGUGUGUGUCUGAGCGAAAGCAUUAAGUAUCCCACCCUGGGAAGUACGACCGCAGGUUGAAACUCAAAGGAAUUGACGGGGGU